CAGUAGCCGCGGGAAUACGUAGGGUGCAAGCGUUAAUCGGAAUUACUGGGCGUAAAGCGUGCGCAGGCGGUUAUAUAAGUCAGAUGUGAAAUCCCCGGGCUCAACCUGGGAACUGCAUUUGAGACUGUAUGGCUAGAGUGUGUCAGAGGGGGGUAGAAUUCCACGUGUAGCAGUGAAAUGCGUAGAUAUGUGGAGGAAUACCGAUGGCGAAGGCAGCCCCCUGGGGUAACACUGACGCUCAUGCACGAAAGCGUGGGGAGCAAACAGGAUUAGAUACCCCUGUAGUCCCUGUCUCUUAUAU
rnacentral:rRNA from 1 species